CAAAUGUAUAUUUAGACUUGAAAUGGAUAUGUUUAAUUGUUGUGCUAUUUCUUUCUUGAAUAACAUGUUGUUUGUUCUUAGAUAAAUCGAUUACACCAAGCCCCACAACCCUCCAAAAACAGAAUUAACGGAGUACAUCCAAAACGAAAGCAGACAACGUAAACAGUAAACAGUCUUAAAUUUCUCACGUAGGACAAUGACACCGUUAUAAAUAGACACGUGUGUAUUGAAAGAACGCAACAAUUAAAAGGAAACUUAAUAUGUUUACAAAAUGAAUUGCGAAAUCGUGUUCUCGAUCUGGUUGACGUAUAUAUAAGAAGUUGCUUCGAGUAAUUUAAAAUAUAAUGAGUAUGCUGUAUUGCGAAUUAAUCUAACUUACUUUAAGGAACACCUAGAAUACAUUUUUUUAAGUGAGGAAAACAUAAACAAUAAAUAUAUAGUGUGACUUUUCUGUGCUGGAAAAACGACUUAAUAUUGCAAAGAGAGACAUGGGGAACGAGUGUGGUGGCAACAGCGUUGGAAAGCAUGGCGGUGGACCAUUCGUAAAUCAUACUUUCACUACACGAAACAAAAAACAUGGCGGAAUUGCGUAUAGCCGACGCACUGGCAAUAAGGCUUCGUCUUUAGGAGGUUCGAACUUUGGCUAUAGCGAAUAUAGCGGCAGAGGAGAAAGUAGCGCCUGGGAAGGCGGACAUGAUGGUGGAAACUAUGGCUGUGACAGCGGUGGUUACAGCGGUGGGGAUUGCAGUGGUGGGGACGGCGGUGGUUGCGAUGGUGGCUGUGAUGGCGGUGGUGGCUGGGAUUAGUGGUCGAUGACAAUAAAGAGCAACAGUGUGUGCUACUGCAUAAAUGUGCAUCAAACAUCGGGUGUGAACGUUUAGAGGCCAUUUAUGCACGAACAAAAUUUACGUUCAUAUUUUGAGCGUCUGUGAUUUUUUAUUUUACAAAAUUAUUCUGUAUUUUAUUUUAUGAUCUUUAGAACUGCCUUUUAAGUUUUAGCAUUUAUAUUGUAUCAUUAGUUCAUGUUCUCAAAAUAUUCCUUUUCAUAUCUUUUUGGUGAGCUUUUGGUAUGCACUUUGUACUUAGUAACACGAUUUAUUUAUUUUAUUUAUUUAUCUAUUUUAUUUCAUUAUUUGUUGGGGGCGGUCGAGGGGUUAACAAAACUCUUAUUAAACAUACAAUUUUCAUACUAUAUUUAUGUAAUUAUGCAAUUAUACAAUUGUCAUGAAGUGGCUUUUGUUUCGCCUCAAUGUUAAAGAUCAUCCUUUUAACCGGUAGGUAAUGUUAAAAAUAUAGUCACUAAAUUAAAAACGUUUAAUGCAAUACUUAUAUCCGGACAUAUACUCCGUGUCUGUUCAUUUCGUUUAACCAUAACACGGAAAACAAAACAAAUAUCAUUCGAAUGUUAUCGUAAAACAUUUUCAUGUUUCUGUUUAGCUUUGAGUUUAAGAUUAUGUAGUGCAAUCGAAAUAUUUCUAGUCACCUGCAUGAAAUAAGAGGCUUGAACCAAUACUAUUUUUCCUUAUAAUGCUUGAAUUUUAUAAGUUCUAGAAAGAACGACUUUUUUAUUAUGCACACCCCCAGUGUGUUGCUCAUCUUACGAAAGUGUUAUGUUCGUUUUGUGUUAUGCAUACGUCAUACUAAAAUCACAAAAACGUGUCUGUUUAAUUUUUUAGCCAUGACAAUAAGUUACCUUAUGAUGUUCAAA